UUAACUGUGGUUAGUGACAUUAUUUUCGAGAGCUGAGUUUCUUUUCGGUGGCGUGGUGGACCCCUGGUUAGCACAUCUGGGUCAUGGGUUCAAAUCUGGCCUGGCCUGUGUGGUGCGUGCAUGUUCUCCCCGUGCCAGCGUGGGUUUUCUUCAGAUACUCUGGUCUCCUCCCGCAAUUCCAAAUCCAUGCAGGAGGCAAAGCAGUGGGGUGGGGUUGAGGUCCCCCAGGCAGGGCCUGCCUCUGAUUUGACUUUGAUGAGUUUGUUUCGGAGCUGCCACAUCUGCUACUUGUUGGACAGCAACGUUUCUAGGAGCUGGAUGUCACUCUCCAACUGUUGCAUGUCCCCCUCCAGUCGCAUCUUCCGGUUCUUCAACGACGGCGUGUCGAUGACAAACGGGAGGCGCUGACUGAAAUCAUUUGAGUUUGACAUCAAGAGACAGCUCAACUUUGAUUUCCAAUGACCUACAUCUUCAUCUUGCUCCUGUUAUUAAUUUCUUUUAUGAAGGGUGAACUUUUAUGGCGCUUUGUAUCCUCCAAGCUUUUUGGAAAUGGAUCUGGGGUCACAUCUUGAGACACUGAUGGCUCUUUUGAGUUGUAAUCAAUUAAUUAACUCUCCUGUUUGUCUUUGGAAAAAAUAUUUUAAAGUAGCAUUAUAGAGUUCACUGUAUUGUGAGUUCAGUUUACAGAGUUGAAGAAGUCUACAACACUUUAGUGAGAUUCUGUGUUGUUGUUCACUUUUUUUUUUUUUGCCAUAAAGGGGAAAAAUAGAAACGACUCACUAUUUCGUGCAGUUGUAUAUUACUGGAUACAACACCACAUUAAUGGAAAUAUUGCUAAAUUAAUCUGUUUAACAUUUCUAUCUGUGUAA